rnacentral:snoRNA from 1 species
CUCUCCUGUUUCUGCCUCAACUUCCUUAUGUUCUAUGGAUUUAUGGGUUCUAAUUAUGGAGAAAAUCAAGUCCUCAUUCCACGGUUCUGCAAUUUUUAAAACUGAUACCUCGCAGAAUCCUGGUUUGGCGAUCCGUGUGGCUCGUUGUUCUAUUCUAGAGUGAAUGUUCCCUAUUCUUUCACUUUAUAAUAACGGCCACUACAUUC